rnacentral:lncRNA from 1 species
AAAUUAAACUUUAUUUCUUUUGUAAACAAAUAUACACAUGUUCCACAUUUACAAAUUUGAACUUUCUUUUGUUCCCAAACAUACAAAAACAUAUAUUAUCAACAAAUUUGAACUUUCUAUCUAUUGCUCUAAAAAUACAAGUCUUCUAAAUCUACAAGCUUGCACUUUCUUUUGUUCUCAAAUAUACAGACUGUUCUGGAUCCGCUGAUUCGAACUUUAUUGCAGCAAGAGCUAGGUCCGUAUAUAAUAGUAAUAAAAAUUCUCCUCCCACUGCCCUCGUGCAGCAGCAUUCAUGACCAUUUUACAAGAAAGUUGAAGCAAAAGACCAACCAUUUUGUUAUAAUGAAAUAUCCCAGAAAACUAAAAGAGUGUUGGAAACAUAAAUUCUACAAAAGUGAAAAAGUGAUACUGAAAAUAAAGGAGUGCAGUUGGUGUAGAGGGUAAUAAAGUUUUUUGCAUAGGUCCAAGGAAAAAAUAGUGAUAAGAGAGGGAGAAACUGGUUUGUUGGAAAUACUUGCAAAAAAAAAAAAAAGAGUCGGCAGUAAAAAAAUCCCUAGACAAAAACCCACAGAGUGAUUGAGAAAGUGAGAAAGAAGAUGGUCAAAUAAGAAAUUCAUGAUAGAGAGAGGGAGAAACUAGUUCGCUGGAAAUACCCCAAAGAAAUGGAGAUAGAGAGAGAGAGAGACCAGUAAAAAAUCCCUAAAUAUGAUCCACAGAGAGAUAUUGAGAAAGUGAAAAAGAAGAUGCCCAAAGAAAAAGUUGUGAUUGAGAGAGAGGGAGAAACUGGUUUGCUGGAAAUAGCAUAAGAAAAAUGGAAAUAGAGAGAGCAGUAAAAACCCCUAAAAAAAACCCAGAGAGAGAUGGAGAAAGUGAGAAAGAAGAUGCCCAAAGAAAAAAUUCGUGAUAGAAAGAGAGGAAUAAACUAGUUUGCUCGAAAUACCACAAAAAAUGGACAUAGAGAGAGCAGUAAAAAAGCCCUAAAACAUGAGAUAGAGACAGAGAGUAGUAAAAAACCCUAAUACAGAGAUGGAAAAAUUGAAGAAAGAAGAUGGCCAAAUAAAAAAUUCGUGAAAGAGAGAGAGGGAGAAACUGGUUUAUUCGAAGGAAAAAGUUUAUACAAGG